UACGGGGGGAGCAAGCGUUGUUCGGAUUUACUGGGCGUAAAGGGCGCGUAGGCGGCCACCGCAAGUCAGUUGUGAAAUCUCUGGGCUUAACCCAGAAAGGUCAACUGAUACUGCGGGGCUAGAGUGCAGAAGGGGCAACUGGAAUUCUCGGUGUAGCGGUGAAAUGCGUAGAUAUUGGGAGGAACACCCGUGGCGAAGGCGGCCAUCUGGACCGGUCCUGACGCUGAGGCGCGAAAGCGUGGGGAGCAAACAGG
rnacentral:rRNA from 1 species